UGGUGCUACUGCCGCUGCUGGCGCUGCAACCUGAGUACGUGGCGGCUUCCUACAAUUCUUCGAGAUAUGCCCAAACAGACCACAGUUAAAGCACUGGAGACAUUCCCCAAAAUGCUGGCGACGACAACGCCCACAAUGGGGUACUCCAGUCUGUUCCCAAGUCCUCUUCUGUGAUCCCGAAGUCCCUCCGGCCUUAGGCUGAACUCCUUUGGAGAACUUCUGUUCCUCUACCAUGCAUUUCUCUUGCACAGCCGCCUUCUCUACCAGAUCCUCCAAACUGGUGUAGGUAACCACACUGCAUCUACCACGAAGCUCUACUCGCAUCCCAUCUAAGAACCUCCUGAUCAGAUCCUCGUCAUCAAUGGUGUUACCCACAAAUCUGCGGAGUUGCUUAAACUCCCGCUCAUACUCCCUCACAGACUUUGCUCCUUGCCUCAAAUGCUCGAAGUCAUUCUUCUUCUCAUGCAAAGCUUCUCUCGGAAAAUACUUCUUGUUGAACGCGUACAGAAAAUCAUCAUAUGUCAGCUCACCACGGUGCAUCAAUCUCACUCCAUCCCACCAGAUUGAUGCAUCUCCACGCAAAUAAAGCUCAGCGAUGUUAAGCUUGAGCCUUGGCGGGCACGAGAUGGUCUUCAAACACUUAUCCAAACUGUGCUUCCAAUCGUGAGCAACUGUAGGUUCCGUCGUCCCACUGAAAUGCUCCAAACUCACAUACUUCAUCUGUCCCAACACCCUGAUAAAUGUCUCAUCAACCUCGGGCACCUGAACUGGGAAAGCAGGUGGUGGCGGUGGAACCUGAAAAACUCCUGGAACAGGCUGAACGGAACCUGAGGAUACUGUAGAGCUAGAGCCGGCUGAUGUGGAACCUGAUGAUCAUGCUGAACCUGAACAGGUGGGGCCUGCUGCAUGUGAAUCUGCGGACCCUGCUGCACCUGAACCUGAGGACCAUGUGGAAUUUGCUGACCCUGCUGAAGGUGGCCGGUCACGGCGGCUCCGGCGAACGUUGGUCGGAGACGGCGGCGAGUGGCCGGGAUGCGCGGUGGCUCCGGCGGACGGCGAUGGCGCGUGCGUUUCACGCUCGUGCAGAGGCGAAACUUCGGGAGGCUCUAGCGGUUUCGUCCGGGCUCCGAUUGCGGCGUGGUUGGUGUCUACGGCUUCGUCUCGACGAGAGGAACACGAUGGUGGUCUUGCAUGCACGAAAUUCGCAGUGGUUAGGAAGUUAUGGGCGAUUUACUAAAACGGCCGAAACUGAACUAAAUGCAUGGCGGUUUUGCGGUGGUUACCUAGGGUUGCGAACGGUGGUGUCGAGCUGAACGUGAUCACGGCACACGGUUGCUCCGGCGACGAGCUCCGGCGACCCACUCACUGUAAAAGAUCACACCUCUUCUCUUAGCUCACUCUCUCUCUAACUCUUCUUCUUCUUUUGCAUAAAGUUUGUGAGGAACUAAAGUGGAUAAAUGUGGGUUUUUAUAAAAAAAAUACCUUGGGCCUCUAGGAAUGGAUUUGGGCUUCGACCUGAAUUCUUUGGGUUAGGAUUUGGGUCAUCACAACUCUCCCCAACUAAUAAGGAAUUCGACCCCGAAUUCGAAUCACGAACUGGUUCUCCAACGACGUCCGAGAAUAGCUCUGGAUAAUCAAUCCUCAUCUGGGCUUCUGACUCCCAAGUCUCCUCCUGAAUACCGUCUCUUUCCCAACGAACUUUGACCAACAUGGUCAUCAUACCAUGAUCUGCUUUCACUUGGCGAUCCAAUAUCUCUACUGGCUGACACGGCGCAUGCAAAUUUCUAUCAAGAUCACUGGGCGGUUGCUGCAAAAUGAGCUCCGGUUCUCUCACGACUUUCCUCAAAACCGAAACAUGAAACACGUCAUGGAAGUCUGAUAACUCUUCUGAUAAGUCCAAUCGGUAGGCAACUGCUCCAAUCCGCUCCAAAAUAGGAUAUGGUCCCAUAUAUCUCGGCUUAAGCUUCUUUAGCUUUCGAGUCUUAGAUCCUCCCUGAAAUGUCCUCAUUUUCAGGUAUACCAGGUCGCCAACCUGGAACUCCAAAUCCUUGCGCCGCUUAUCUGCAUAACUCUUCUGACGGUCAUGGGCUUCCUUAAGUCGAACCUUGAGCAUCUCAACUUGCUCUACCGUCUCUUGAACCAUGGCUGGUUCUAUCUCACGUCGCUCCCCCACUUCUGUCCAACAAAGUGGUGUGCGACAAGGUCUACCAUAUAGAGCCUCAUAUGGUGCCAUCCCAAUACUCGAAUGAUAGCUGUUGUUGUAGGCAAACUCGGCUAGAGGUAGGUACUUCACCCAACUACCUUCCCAAUCUAAGACACAAGCUCUGAGCAUAUCUUCCAAAGUCUGAAUAGUCCUCUCUGACUGAUCAUCUGUCUGCGGGUGAUACGCUGUACUCAUAUGAACUUUUGUCCCAAGUGCCUUCUGAAAGGCUCUCCAAAACUCAGAUGUGAACUUUACAUCCCGAUCCGAUACAAUGCUCACGGGAACUCCGUGCAAUCUCACAAUCUCGCUAAUGUAGAUCUGUGCCAACUGAUCAGCUCUGUCUGUCUUUUUAAUCGCUAGGAAAUGGGCUGACUUGGUAAGUCUAUCCACGAUCACCCAUAUGGCAUUUUUCCCUCCUGACGUGGUCGGCAAACCCGUCACAAAAUCCAUAGUUACCAUGUCCCAUUUCCACUCUGGCAAAGGCAGGUUCUGUAAUAACCCGCUAGGCACCUGAUGCUCGGCCUUAACCAUCUGACAUGUUUGACACUGUGAUACAAAUGAAGCAACAUCCCUCUUCAUACCAGGCCAAUGGUAAUAUCGCUUCAAAUCCCUGUACAUCUUCGUAUUCCCUGGGUGGAUAGAAAAAUUCGAGUGGUGUGCUUGCCGUAAGAUCUCCUUCCUUAACGGCUCAUUAUCUGGCACACAAACCCGCUUCCGAUACAUGAACAUCCCGCUGGAGGCUGUAUGAUAACCAAUACUCUCCAUCUCGAUCUGCUUACACAAAGCUUCAUCAUUAUCUUGGGCUUUGCGUAUCCUCCACAGUAAAUCUGCCCGCUCUACAGCCUCAGCGCCAACUGACUCUCCCUACACAGUAACUGCACAUAAUCUGAGACUAGCAAGUGUCCCAGUAAGCUCCUGGACCUCUUUGGUUCCUGAUACAUCGCUUCGGCGCCUACUCAAGGCAUCCACCACAUGAUUGGCUUUUCCCGGAUGAUAUGAGAUCUCCAAGUUGUAGUCUGCUAACAACUCCAUCCAUCUACGCUGCCUCAAAUUCAAGUCCGCCUGCGUAAAUAUGUACUUCAGACUCUGGUGGUCCGUGAAAAUCUUCACCUUCUCUCCAUACAAGUAUGACCUCCAGAUCUUUAAUGCAAAUACAACUGCUGCCAACUCCAAAUCAUGCGUAGGAUAAUUGGCCUCGUGAGGCCUCAACUGUCGUGAUGCAUAGGCAAUGACCUGACCUUCCUGCAUCAGUACACAUCCCAAUCCGGUGCCUGACGCAUCAGUGUAAACAUCAUAUGGUAUCCCUGGCCUCGGGAGUACCAAAACUGGCGCAUGGGUCAGCUGUCGCUUCAACUCAGUGAAACUCCCCGAACAUUCCUCUGUCCAAUCAAACUCGGUGUCUUUUCCUGUUAGCCGCGUCAUUGGCUUUGCAAUGCUAGCAAAAUUUUUGACAUACUUUCUGUAGUAUCCUGCCAAACCGAGAAAACUGCGGAUCUCCGUCGCACUCUUAGGUGUCGGCCACUCUGAAAUGGCGCUAAUCUUCUCCUGAUCUACGGCAACUCCUGCUUCUGAAACCACGUGACCCAAAAAUCCAAUCUUCUUCUGCCAAAAGCUACACUUACUCAGCUUGGCAAACAACUGAUGUUCCCGAAGCUUACCCAACACAAUCCGCAAAUGUUCAGCAUGCUCUUCUCUACUCCGAGAAUAAACCAAGAUGUCGUCGAUGAAAACAAUCACAAACUUAUCCAACUGUUCUCGAAACACAUCAUUCAUGAGUUUCAUGAAUGCUGGCGGUGCGUUCGUCAACCCAAAUGGCAUUACCACAAACUCGUAAUGUCCAUAACGUGUACGGAAUGCCGUCUUCCGCACAUCUCCCUCAGCUAUCGCAAUCUGGUGGUAUGCCGAUGCCAAAUCAAUCUUAGAGAACCAUGAAGCUCUCUGCAACUGGUCUAACAACUCGUCGAUACGCGGGAGCGGGUACUUAUUCUUGAUGGUCACUUUGUUCAAACCUCUGUAAUCUAUACAAAGUCUGAAACUCCCAUCUUUCUUCUUCACAAACAACACUGGUGCUCCCCACGGUGACGUGCUUGGCCUGAUAAACCCCUUAUCAGAUAGCUCCUCCAAUUGUUUCUUUAACUCUGCCAUCUCAGUUGGUGCGAGACGGUAUGGAGCUCGUGAAAUUGGUGCUGCUCCUGGCUCUACUUCUAUUGUAAGAACGUCCGCUCUAGCUGGUGGUGGCCCUUUUAAAGGCUCAAAAACAUCCUCUUCGUACUCGGCGACCACUGGAAUAUCAUGCAGCUUCUGCUUACCGUCUUCCUUAACCAUCGAAAUGGUUGCCAAAAAUCCCUCUGCUCCACUUUCCAAUAAUUCUUCUGCACGCAACAUGGAGACGAUAGGAAUUUCCCGGUGUGUCUGAAUUCCCUCGCAAAUGAUCUUUCCUUCUUCUUUAGGGAUAUUAACUCUUGCCUUCGGACAAUCCAAGACUACUCGAUGUCGCGACAACCAAUCCAUCCCAAGUAUAACAUCGUAUAAGCUCAUCUCCAAUUCCGUCAAAUCUCCGAGCAGCUCAACUCCUCCCAGAAUAACUGGUACAUCGUGAUGAAUGCCAACUGCUCCCAACUUCUCCGUGCCGGCAGUCUGAAUCUGCUUAGCCUUCGGUUCGAAGUCACUCCGAAAAGACCAAGACCGGACUAAGUGCGGACUCACAAAACUAUGAGAUGCUCCCGUGUCGAAUAAGGUAUAAGCUGACUCUCCUCCAACCGAAACCGAUCCUACACGAGAUUUUUACUAACUACACAUGAUAACCACACACCAAAAAUAUUCAAAGACAAUAAGUAUGGAAAAGUCACAUACCCGCUAUCGGCUCAGCUCCCUGGGGAUCUCCAACGCAAACACACGUGGAGCGAUGGCUGGACGCUUCGGUGGUGGUGGAAGCGCUGCAUUGCCUCUCCUCGGACAAUCUCUGUAAAUGUGACCUGGCUGGUUGCAGCCGUAACAGUUCCUCGCUGCCGCUGCUGGUGCUACUACCGCUGUUGGCGCUGCAACCUGAGUAUGUGGCGGCUUCCUACAAUUCUUCGAGAUAUGCCCAAACAGACCACAGUUAAAGCACUGUAGAUAUUCCCCAAAAUGCUGGCGACGACAACGCCCACAAUGGGGUGUUCCAGUCUGUUCCCAAGUCCUCUUCUGUGAUCCCGAAGUCCCUCCGGCCUUAGGCUGAACUGCUUUGGAGAACUUCUGCUCCUCUACCAUACAUUUCUCUUGCACAGCCGCCUUCUCUACCAGAUCCUCCAAACUGGUGUAGGUAACCACACUGCAUCUACCACGAAGCUCUACUCGCAU
rnacentral:lncRNA from 1 species